UGGGGAAUUUUGCACAAUGGGGGGAACCUUGAUGCAGCGACGCCGCGUGAGGGAUGGAGGCCUUCGGGUUGUGAACCUCUUUCGCUCGUGUGCAAGCCGCUAUUUGGGUAGUGGUGAGUGUAGCGGGUAAAGAAGCGCCGGCUAACUACGUGCCAGCGGCCGCGGUAAUACGUAGGGCGCGAGCGUUGUCCGGAUUUAUUGGGCGUAAAGGGCUUGUAGGCGGUUUGUCGCGCCUGUCGUGUAAUCCUCUGGCUUAACUGGGGGUGUGCGGUGGGUACGGGCAGGCUUGAGUGCGGUAGGGGAGAUUGGAAUUCCUGGUGUAGCGGUGGAAUGCGCAGAUAUCAGGAGGAACACCGGUGGCGAAGGCGGGUCUCUGGGCCGUUACUGACGCUGAGGAGCGAAAGCGUGGGGAGCGAACAGG
rnacentral:rRNA from 1 species